rnacentral:lncRNA from 1 species
AGCUUCUUCCGAUCCAGCUUCCACUUUUGUAGCCUGCUCCAACGGGUUGAUAUCAGCUUCGGGAGUUUGAACUGGCGCUCCGAUUGUUGUAAGUUCUUCUGGGGCUAUAGGUUGUUCGUCAACUUUUGCCUCCUCAGGGUCAGCGGGCGUUGCUUCUUUUUCCUUCGCUGGAACAUCUUCUUCUGCUGUUGGAUUCUCCACCUCGGUCGGUUUUGGUUCUUCCUCCACAGGUGCGUUUACUUCCUCCGUUGACUUGUCAACUGGCGUUGUUUGAUCCACACUUUGUUCUGGUGUACUCUCUGCUGGUGCUUGCAUAAGAUCGGCUGCUUUCUCGGCCUCGUCUGGCGUUGCUUCCUCGACUGGAUUCUCAUCAGCUUGUCUUGGCUCUACGGCCGGCGAUAUUUCACUGUCUUCCAGCGUGGUUUCAAU